GACGAACGCUGGCGGCGUGCUUAACACAUGCAAGUCGAGCGGAAAGGCUCCUUCGGGGGUACUCGAGCGGCGAACGGGUGAGUAACACGUGAGUAAUCUGCCCUGGACUCUGGGAUAGCCACCGGAAACGGUGAUUAAUACCGGAUAUGACCAGCUUCCGCAUGGUGGUUGGUGGAAAGUUUUUUCGGUCCAGGAUGUGCUCGCGGCCUAUCAGCUUGUUGGUGAGGUAAUGGCUCACCAAGGCUUUGACGGGUAGCCGGCCUGAGAGGGUGACCGGUCACACUGGGACUGAGACACGGCCCAGACUCCUACGGGAGGCAGCAGUGGGGAAUAUUGGACAAUGGGCGGAAGCCUGAUCCAGCAACGCCGCGUGAGGGAUGACGGCCUUCGGGUUGUAAACCUCUUUCAGUACCGACGAAGCGAAAGUGACGGUAGGUACAGAAGAAGGACCGGCCAACUACGUGCCAGCAGCCGCAGUAACAC
rnacentral:rRNA from 1 species